CAGGCAGGGAGGAAAGAAAGGAGAGAGGGUGGCCAGAGCUGGCCAGCAGAGCUCCCCAGCCUUAGUAAUGGAGAACAAAAACCUGGAAGAGAGGUGAUGAAGCUGUUCAGCUGGCAAGGCAUACUGAAUCCUACUCUAUGAAACUGUCUUCUGAAGUAAGAUCUCAAGAAUCCUGCAAUUCAUUAGUAAAUGUUUGGCUUUGCUAUUAAGGAAUGAAGGAGAAAGUUGCCAUGUUUAUAUACUCACAAUUAAAAUGGCUACAAAACAGGCUAAAGUUGUGUUCCAGUCUCCACUGGCUGUUGCUGAGACUUUGCCAACUAGAACACUGUAGAAAAUGAAGUCUCCCAAGCCAAGCUUAACUCCCCCUGCAGAAGAAAAAAGAGAAGUACUAAGCAAAAACAAAAAAUGACUUGUCACUCAGCCUUGAAAUUAAAACCACUGUAUGCAGUAACUUUUGUUUAGUCAUUAUCCAUUUCAUAAGCCAAAGGAACUGAUGGGACACCUAAAGGUCUGCUGCCACAAUGCAUUUCUUAUUAUUUUUGUCAAAUAUAAUACAAACAGUAUUUUCAUCUCAAGCAGAUGCAACUGAAGAAACCCGAGGCAAACAUUUUGAAGAUCAGAGAUUUCAGUAGGACAAUGUUACUAAAGAACCAAAACUUUUAAAAAGACAAACUAUUCUUCAGAAGCUGACUGAGAAAGAUGGUCAAAUGCACUGCCUGAAUUUAACAUCUGGGAAACCCUGUCCAAACAGCAAGUGCAGGAAGCAUGUGGAAAUUAAAUUGGGUGAACAACUUUGAGCUGCGUUGAAACAGAUCUAGUAUCCACAUGUGGGACUGAACAGAGGACAGGAUGAACAACCUGCAAAAACUAUUACUGCCUCCUUGUAGGCUUGAUUACAAGCGAGCAGCAAUGGAAGAAUCUGUGUUUCAUACUCGGCUACUGAGGACAACACUUGAAAACUAUUUAAAGCAGAAGGCAAGAUAUGCACUACAUCUCAUCUCUCACUGGUAUAAGCUUACAGUUUCAUUUGAAGAGUGGCAGCCAAAUGGAUUCUAGUGGCACCACAAUAUAUUAACAUAUUGCUCUUCAGUUUCUCAGUGUAUUAGAAUACUACGUGUCUCCCUCCCCGUUUCUGUCAAAGUUUACAGACUGAUCAACAGCUGCUGCUUUGGCAAUGGGCCCCAGUGUGCCAGAUAAGUACAAUCUGACAGUAGCUCUGAACACUCUUAGCUGCCUGGAAAGUUAACACAUGUUUAUCUGGAACUGUUACUUACUCUCCUCUGGGUCCUCACUUGCUAUAGAAUGACUGGGGAGA